rnacentral:tRNA from 1 species
GGCCCCGUCGUCUAGCGGUCUAGGACACCGCCCUCUCACGGCGGAGAUCGUGGGUUCGAAUCCCAUCGGGGCUACCA